AAGAACUGAGGCUCAAAGAGGGUGAGAAACUGACCCUCAGCCUCCCAGCUUCUAAGUGGUGGAGCCAGGAUCCAACCCUACAUUUCCUGAUGGGGCUCUCAAUCCUUCUGUCCACUGCCUCUGACCUAAGAAAGUCAUAACCAGUUCAUACUUGGCAAACGCUCUAUGCUGUACAAAAUACUCAGUUCUCGUCACUUCCCUGUGAGGUCAGGUUGAAGAGCAGACCAAAAGGGAUGCUGGAUAUCUGCUUCUCACAACUUCCGAAACACAAAAUUGCUGCUGCUGCUGCUGCUGCUGAUUCCACCACCAUCUCCCUAGCAAGAACGGCCCUACAACAGUCCAUCUGAUUUCUCUAAGUACACUGCUUUCACUUCUAAAGAGUUUUCUGUUUUUCCCAAAGUGAUUUGUGGCUUGCUGGCAUGUGGCCAUGCAGACCAGGGAAAUUACAUGAAUGAAUGCAAAUUGAAAGAAAUUCCAAAUACAAAGCCUCUUGACAAGAACGGCGCUGGUAGGGAGAAAAAAAAAAAAAAAGCAGUGACAUUGACACAUUUGUACAUGACUGGUGGUGGUGGAAAGUGGAACCACCUUUUUAGAAGUGUGAGCCCCGGGAAAUGCUUCUUUUAACCAGAUACUUCUACUCCUGAGGAAAUAAUUUGUGAGCUGCAAAUGGUUACACAAAAAGAAUAAUUACGGUGUUACUCAGAACUGCGGAAAUCCAUAAAUUAUAAGCUAGACAUCUUAUACUAAAGGGAGAGUUUAGUAAAUUAUAGUAUAGCAAUCUAAUGUAACA